UGUCAUUAUAGGACUCUACAAAUUCGUCAGCCUACAAAAACUUUGCCUUUUGGAAACCCCUCUAAAUUUAAGAACCAAAAAUAUGGCUAAAUUUAAUAAAUUUGUUUCAUUUGUGUGCGAUGUGGGUUCCUUCUUGAGGCGCUUAAAUUUGAGCAUUGCUCGGCUGAUUUUCCUGGAGCUUCCAAGUGCCACAAUGAAGUUUCGAAUGUGAUUUAUGAAUCAUGAAUGAAGGCAUGAUCCAUGGACACAACGGAUGAACAGCAGGAUCUCCACUUACCAGAAGACUUUGGCAGACACUUCUAAUAUGAUACAAAAUUAAAGGGAUUUUCUUAUCAAAUUA